rnacentral:rRNA from 1 species
GACGAACGCUGGCGGCGUGCUUAUCACAUGCAAGUCGAACGGAAAGGCCCUGCUUUUGUGGGGUGCUCGAGUGGCGAACGGGUGAGUAACACGUGAGUAACCUGCCCUUGACUUUGGGAUAACCUCAGGAAACUGGGGCUAAUACCGGAUAGGAGCUCCUGCUGCAUGGUGGGGGUUGGAAAGUUUCGGCGGUUGGGGAUGGACUCGCGGCUUAUCAGCUUGUUGGUGGGGUAGUGGCUUACCAAGGCUUUGACGGGUAGCCGGCCUGAGAGGGUGACCGGCCACAUUGGGACUGAGAUACGGCCCAGACUCCUACGGGAGGCAGCAGUGGGGAAUAUUGCACAAUGGGCGGAAGCCUGAUGCAGCAACGCCGCGUGCGGGAUGACGGCCUUCGGGUUGUAAACCGCUUUCGCCUGUGACGAAGCGUGAGUGACGGUUAUGGGUAAAGAAGCACCGGCUAACUACGUGCCAGCAGCCGCGGUGAUACGUAGGGUGCGAGCGUUGUCCGGAUUUAUUGGGCGUAAAGGGCUCGUAGGUGGUUGAUCGCGUCGGAAGUGUAAUCUUGGGGCUUAACCCUGAGCGUGCUUUCGAUACGGGUUGACUUGAGGAAGGUAGGGGAGAAUGGAAUUCCUGGUGGAGCGGUGGAAUGCGCAGAUAUCAGGAGGAACACCAGUGGCGAAGGCGGUUCUCUGGGCCUUUCCUGACGCUGAGGAGCGAAAGCGUGGGGAGCGAACAGGCUUAGAUACCCUGGUAGUCCACGCUGUAAACGGUGGGUACUAGGUGUGGGGUCCAUUCCACGGGUUCCGUGCCGUAGCUAACGCUUUAAGUACCCCGCCUGGGGAGUACGGCCGCAAGGCUAAGACUCAAAGGAAUUGACGGGGCCCCGCACAAGCGGCGGAGCAUGCGGAUUAAUUCGAUGCAACGCGUAGAACCUUACCUGGGUUUGACAUGGAUCGGGAGUGCUCAGAGAUGGGUGUGCCUCUUUUGGGGUCGGUUCACAGGUGGUGCAUGGCUGUCGUCAGCUCGUGUCGUGAGAUGUUGGGUUAAGUCCCGCAACGAGCGCAACCCUUGUUCACUGUUGCCAGCACGUUAUGGUGGGGACUCAGUGGAGACCGCCGGGGUCAACUCGGAGGAAGGUGGGGAUGACGUCAAGUCAUCAUGCCCCUUAUGUCCAGGGCUUCACGCAUGCUACAAUGGCUGGUACAGAGAGUGGCGAGCCUGUGAGGGUGAGCGAAUCUCGGAAAGCCGGUCUCAGUUCGGAUUGGGGUCUGCAACUCGACCUCAUGAAGUCGGAGUCGCUAGUAAUCGCAGAUCAGCAACGCUGCGGUGAAUACGUUCCCGGGGCU